rnacentral:tRNA from 1 species
GCGGGUUAGUAUAGAGGCAUUACACUCGACUGAUAAUCGAGCGAAGGCGGAUCGUUACCGCCACCCGCUAC